ensembl:lncRNA
GUAGCAUUUACUGUAACUAUAUGUACUGUAACUAAAUUUGCUGUAACUAUAUUUACUGUAGCAUUUACAGUAACUAUAUUUACUGUAGCAUUUACAGUAACUAUAUUUACUGUAACUAUGUUGUAUACCAUAUAUGAUGGAAUGGGCCACCAACAACAAUGUAAACAAUGUAAAAAAUGCUACGAGAUUUUCACAUGAAACUAGCACUUCAAAUCAAACUUUAUUGGUUGUGUACACAGACUUGCAUAUGUUAUCGCAGGUGCAGUGAAAUGCGUGUGUUUCUAGCUCCAACCAUGCAGUAAUAAUACCUAGAAAACAAUAUGCACAUCAUCCAAAGUAAAAAUAAAGAAAUGAAGAAAUAUCAGAACGACCAGUUGAUUUCUAUACCUGUGGUGCUAAAGGAAUGGCAUCCCAUGACAUGUUUUAAAGGUGAUAUGAAGCUCUACAUAAGUCUCAAAUUACACAACAAGCACACUUGUAGAAACAUGUGCUACAUUUAUGGGGGUUAUAAUAAAGUAAGACAAUUACAUAAAGGUAUUCAAGACGAGUCAUAUUAUUCACAAUUAAGGGUUGUAUUUCAAGUAUGUGAAAUUACUGGGCACCUUGCAGACAGUGGCUUUAACUAGUGGUAUGAGGUAUUUUAGUGCUGGGCUGGAACAAUAGCCUAAAACCUCAAGGUAUAAUUCAAAUUAGCUCAAGCUAGAAUUUACAUUAUCUCAAGGCAGAAUUUACAUUAUCUCAAGGCAGAAUUUACAUUAUCUCAAGGCACUAUUGAACACAUGACAGUAUUAUGUAAUGUUGUGGUUGAGGUUUAUUCAAAGGGACAGAAUAAAGGCCAGUAUGGACAGAACCAGGUAUAUUUACAUGUUUUAGGUUAUUUUCAGCAACUGAGUGGUGGGAUGUAGUCAGAUCUAGUGUACACUACAUAAAGGCCAAGCAGACAGAACACAUUCUAAUGGUGCAGGAACGUGUAGCAGUGACUUUUAAAACAACACUGAAUGAUAUCAUAGCCAGUAGUGAGAGAGGAGACACCCCACUCAAACCCACUGGCUAGAGACAGUCAUUAAGUAGUCUUUUUACAUUUGUUGAAGCCACUGUCUCAACAUGACUUAUUGUAUUUGGCAUUUAAGAAGAGAGGGUGGAUGAGUGUGGUAUUGACGUGGGAGGAGGGGGAUGUUCAGUAAGAGGGACAGUAGACAUGUCCAGACUUCUGAAAAUGUAUAACAACUCAACAGCAUGUUACUAAUUUACAGUACUGUAUGGGAAUGGCUCUAUCCUGCAGUACGUUAUCAGGUAAAGAUACAGAGCAAGCCUUGUGUUAAUGUUCCUGUCCAGGCAGAACUAUGAGCCUUGUGUUAAUGUUCCUGUCCAGGCAGAACUAUGAGCCUUGUGUUAAUGUUCCUGUCCAGGCAGGACUAUAAGCCUUGUGUUAAUGGUCCUGUCCAGGCAGAACUAUAAGCCUUGUGUUAAUGUUCCUGUCCAGGCAGAACUAUAAGCCUUCUGUUAAUGUUCCUGUCCAGGCAGAACUAUAAGCCUUGUGUUAAUGUUCCUGUCCAGGCAGAACUAUAAGCCUUGUGUUAAUG